rnacentral:rRNA from 1 species
GACGAACGCUGGCGGCGUGCUUAACACAUGCAAGUCGAACGAUGAAGCUGGAGCUUGCUCCGGUGGAUUAGUGGCGAACGGGUGAGUAACACGUGAGCAAUCUGCCCUUGACUCUGGGAUAACUGCGGGAAACUGUAGCUAAUACCGGAUACGAGAUUUGGAGGCAUCUCCGGAUCUGGAAAGAAUUUCGGUCAAGGAUGAGCUCGCGGCCUAUCAGCUUGUUGGUGAGGUAAUGGCUCACCAAGGCGACGACGGGUAGCCGGCCUGAGAGGGUGACCGGCCACACUGGGAUUGAGACACGGCCCAGACUCCUACGGGAGGCAGCAGUGGGGAAUAUUGCACAAUGGGCGAAAGCCUGAUGCAGCAACGCCGCGUGAGGGAUGAAGGCCUUCGGGUUGUAAACCUCUUUUAGUAGGGAAGAAGCGAAAGUGACGGUACCUACAGAAAAAGCACCGGCUAACUACGUGCCAGCCGCCGCGGUAA